CCUACGGGAGGCAGCAGUGGGGAAUUUUGGACAAUGGGGGCAACCCUGAUCCAGCCAUGCCGCGUGCAGGAUGAAGGCCUUCGGGUUGUAAACUGCUUUUGUCAGGGACGAAAAGGACCGUGUUAAUACCAUGGUCUGCUGACGGUACCUGAAGAAUAAGCACCGGCUAACUACGUGCCAGCAGCCGCGGUAAUACGUAGGGUGCAAGCGUUAAUCGGAAUUACUGGGCGUAAAGCGUGCGCAGGCGGUUCUGUAAGACAGAUGUGAAAUCCCCGGGCUUAACCUGGGAAUUGCAUUUGUGACUGCAGGACUAGAGUUCAUCAGAGGGGGGUGGAAUUCCAAGUGUAGCAGUGAAAUGCGUAGAUAUUUGGAAGAACACCAAUGGCGAAGGCAGCCCCCUGGGAUGCGACUGACGCUCAUGCACGAAAGCGUGGGGAGCAAACAGGAUUAGAUACCCUAGUAGUC
rnacentral:rRNA from 1 species